rfam:Ipomoea nil DNA, scaffold: scaffold2280, cultivar: Tokyo-kokei standard.
AUAUCCGUGGCGCAAUGGUAGCGCGUCUGACUCCAAAUCUGAAGGUUGCGAGUUCGAUUCACGUCGGGUUCA